UUUCCGUAGGUGAACCUGCGGAAGGAUCAUUACCAGAGACAGGAACGGCUGCUCGCAGCCCGACCUCUCACCCCUAUGUGUACCUUGAAUCUGUUGCUUUGGCGGGUUGGCGCGGUCACCACCGCGCGCGCCCGCCGGAGAAAGUCUGCUGCGGCGGGCUGUCUACAACAAUGUUGCACGAGAGCGUCUGAGUCGCGAGGAAAUACGCAAAAACUUUCAACAACGGAUCUCUUGGUUCCG
rnacentral:misc_RNA from 1 species